rnacentral:rRNA from 1 species
UGGGGAAUAUUGCACAAUGGGCGAAAGCCUGAUGCAGCGACGCCGCGUGAGGGAUGACGGCCAUCGGGUUGUAAACCUCUUUCAGUAGGGACGAAGCGCAAGUGACGGUACCUGCAGAAGAAGCACCGGCUAACUACGUGCCAGCAGCCGCUGUACUACGUAGGGUGCGAGCGUUGUCCGGAAUUACUGGGCGUAAAGAACUCGUAGGCGGUUUGUCACGUCGUCUGUGAAAUCCUAAGGCUUAACCCUGGACGUGCAGGCGAUACGGGCUGACUUGAGUACUACAGGCGAGACUGGAAUUUCUGGUGUAGCGGUGGAAUGCACAGAUAUCAGGAAGAACACCGAUGGCGAAGGCAGGUCUCUGGGUAGUAACUGACGCUGAGGAGCGAAAGCAUGGUUAGCGAACAGG